rnacentral:misc_RNA from 1 species
AAAUGCGAUAAGUAAUGUGAAUUGCAGAAUUCAGUGAAUCAUCGAAUCUUUGAACGCACCUUGCGCUCCUUGGUAUUCCUUGGAGCAUGCCUGUCUGAGUAUCAUGAAAUCUUCAAAGUAAAUCUUUUGUUAACUCAAUUGGUUUCUACUUUGGUAUUGGAGGUCUUUGCAGCUUCACACCUGCUCCUCUUUGUUCAUUAGCUGGAUCUCAGUGUUAUGCUUGGUUCCACUCGGCGUGAUAAGUUAUCUAUCGCUGAGGACACUGUAAAAGGUGGCCAAGGUAAAUGCAGAUGAACCGCUUCUAAUAGUCCAUUGACUUGGACAAUACUUUUAUGAUCUGAUCUCAAAUCAGGUAGGACUACCCGCUGAACUUAAGC